UGGAGAGAAGAUGACCUGGUGGGCAAGUCUCAUCUCUUUUCACCCGGCUGAAUGCUGGAUUUCAGAAAUAAUUACAGGAUCCAUAAAGCGAUGGAACAGCCUGUCUGGGAGAUGGGGAACAUGGAUCCUCUUGUUUGCCGUGCUUGCCCCAUUCAAUAACUACAAGUGACACUUCCUGUCCUCUGCUAGGAGAUGAAAUGAGUUUGGGAACAAAAGUCAUUCUCAAGCUGCCUGCACAGCUUUUGGCACAGCACUGAUGGAGAAUAGGUACUGCUCUGGCUGGACCAGCUCUGCCAUUUAGGUUCUACAAGUGGGACUUGUGACAAGAGAAUGAAGCCCAGUGCGAUUUUGCAGAGGCCAUCAGAAAUCCUGGGGACAUUCAGAAAUGCUCAGUUUGCCACCAAUUUCCUGCAGCUGACAGCACAUUUGCAUUGACCUUGGUGACAGUGCCAGCCUGGCAAAUGAAAAGGACAUGCAUCACUAAGAGGAGAAUUAAAUUUGCAAGGAAUGCCUUGUAUUU